rnacentral:rRNA from 1 species
UACGGGGGGGGCAAGCGUUGUUCGGAAUUACUGGGCGUAAAGGGCUUGUAGGUGGCCAACUAAGUCAGACGUGAAAUCCCUCAGCUUAACUGGGGAACUGCGUCUGAUACUGGAUGGCUUGAGAUUGGGAGAGGGACGCGGAAUUCCAGGUGUAGCGGUGAAAUGCGUAGAUAUCUGGAGGAACACCGGUGGCGAAGGCGGGUCUCUGGGCAGUAACUGACGCUGAGGAGCGAAAGCGUGGGGAGCGAACAGG